AUUGAACGCUGGCGGCAGGCCUAACACAUGCAAGUCGAACGGUAACAGGAAGCAGCUUGCUGCUUCGCUGACGAGUGGCGGACGGGUGAGUAAUGUCUGGGAAGCUGCCUGAUGGAGGGGGAUAACUACUGGAAACGGUAGCUAAUACCGCAUAAUGUCGCAAGACCAAAGAGGGGGACCUUCGGGCCUCUUGCCAUCGGAUGUGCCCAGAUGGGAUUAGCUUGUUGGUGGGGUAACGGCUCACCAAGGCGACGAUCCCUAGCUGGUCUGAGAGGAUGACCAGCCACACUGGAACUGAGACACGGUCCAGACUCCUACGGGAGGCAGCAGUGGGGAAUAGUGCACAAUGGGCGCAAGCCUGAUGCAGCCAUGCCGCGUGUAUGAAGAAGGCCUUCGGGUUGGAAAGGACUUUCAGCGGGGAGGAAGGGAGUAAAGUUAAUACCUUUGCUCAGUGACGGGACCCGCAGAAGAAGCACCGGCUAACUCCG
rnacentral:rRNA from 1 species